ensembl:lncRNA
GGAGGUGGAAGGUAGAGGCCUGAUACCUGAGAUACAAGUCAGAAACUGGAACCGAGGAGUGAUCCUCUGCCCACCAACAGCCAAACCCUCCUCCCUGACGGCCCUGGUGAUGCGCCCAGCAGGGGCGUCUCUGGGGUGGGAGUCAGAGCCCAUUUGGGGAAAACAGGAGGGAGGAGGUGAGAACAGGCACCCGCCAUUUUGAAUUAGGUGAAUUCAGGCCAGAAUGAACUGCCCAUCUGGGGAAUGGUGUCAGUGCCUCCUAUGGCGCUCCCACUGACCAGCUGUGGGUCAGUGACGUAACUCUCCGAACCUCAGUUUCCUUGUCUGGAAAAUGGGAUAAGAAUAGUAUUUACUUCACAAGGAUGUUUUAAGGAUUCCACAGGAUGGAAUAUGUAAAAUGCUUAAACAGUGCAUAGCAAAUGGUAAGCGCUCAAAACACCUCAGCCAUAAGAGAGAAAAGAGAGACUGGAGGGAGAGAGAAAGUACGGAGAAAGGCAAGAACAGAGGGAGGCAGGUGGCCAGGAACCCGAGGCGGCCCAGUCUGACAUGCUGGGAGUUUAACUCUCCCAGAAAAGAUACAGAAAUUUAAAGCAUCCAAACUUCAGCACCCACUCCUCAAAAUGGACUUUCGAGUUCUUCUGAUUCAACUCCUUCAUUUUAUAAAUGUUCUGAGUCCCAGAAAGGACAAAAAUGUCUCAAAGAUGCCCAGAGAGUUAGCGGAGGGGUCGGGCCUGGAGGGCUGGCCAGCUGGGGAGGGAGAGGCUCAGAGGGGCCGGUGGGGUAGGUUAUGAGCCCCCUGUUCUUCUCAGUCUGGAGGGAGAGGGUCUGUCUUCCUCUGUCCCCUCAGCUGCAGCAAGGGGCCGUGGCAGGCUGAGAAGCCCCAGCAGUCGGCAGGAGGAACACUGGGCAGGAAGGGGCAGGGAGGGGCAGGGCACUGACUCGUCCUGCCUAUCCCCCAACCUGGGCUAGGCCCCUCCUUAAACCCAGCACAGGCUCAGUACGCGUCCAGCUGUGAGGGAUUAUCCCCAUUUGACAGAUGAGGGUACAGAUGCCCAAGGCCCCUUGGCGCUAAUAGAGCUAGAACUUGAUCCCAUCCUGUGUGACUCCAGACACCUCUGGCCCGCUCCUGCCUGGGAACUGAAAGGCCUAGAUUUGGGAGCACCACUAACUGGCUGUAACCUUGGGCAAGUCCUUUCUCUCCAGCCUCAAGCUCUUCCUCUAAACAAGGAGGGCAGACAACAGGGUCACUGAGGGCCCUUCCAGUCGGAGCUGACAUUCUUGGAAGUCUAAACCAACUCGCCUCCCCCCGCCGGCUGAGUGGGGGAAAGGCUGCCAGAACAUCCUGCAGCAUCUCAUUGGGCCCCCUUGCCCAGGGCACAGGGCAGGCCUUUCCCCGGAGAGCACUCCUCUGCCCAGCCCGGGGAGCACAAGGCCUCCUCCACUCCCUUCCAGCUCAUUGCAGAUGGGUAACAGUCUGUGGAUUGGCCGUGGUCUGAGGACACCUCUUUGAUAGCAUCGAUUCAGGCUGUUGAGAGGUGGAUGCUGGCGUUGCAGAACCUCUCAGAUUGCCAGAAGGAACAAGGCUCCUGCAUCCCUGUUCCCCUAAGCAGGUACUUCUGGACACCAAGUCAAUUAACCUCAAGAUGUCCCAGGCCAGGCGCGCUGCGCUGACUUACGGCUGGAUCCCUCCUUCCAUCCCAGUCUGUCUCCCAGGACCUUCAGGAUGUACAUUGUUAUUAAAGUGUCCCCGCCAGUGGCCCCUGAUAAGCAUACAGAGCUGUGGGGUCGGGGUUGGAGUGGGGCGACCUGGGAGAGAGAAGUAUGUACAGGUAGAGGCCCGCCUUCUUUGAUUCCAACUCUAUACAAAACUUGGCCCAAGCAUCACCUCCUGCAGAAAGUCAUCCCGGGCCUGCAGCCAGACUGAGGGCCCCCGCCUGCGCUGCUGCAUCACAGAACAGGUCUCCCUGCAUUCACAUGGAACAGUUGACAUAGUAAAUUCGAAGGUGGUGCCAGCGCCUCUGGGGGUUGGAUGUGGUGUCACCUGCCUUGGUUCGAGGGUUUGACCAGAUUUCAGGGCUUGUCUGGGUGCCCCUGCGCAGGGUACAGUCUGUACAACUCUGAGCAGUGGCCCAGGUAGUUGGAGCUCCGGGCCCAUCUCUGGCAGACUUCAGGGGACUGGGGAGCAGGAAUUGUGUCUGGGACGUUGCAUCUUGAGUACAGAGGUCUCCGCCUGGUUGAGCAACAGAAAACACUGGCUUAAAAAAAUGUAGACACUCUGGCUCCAAUUUUAGGAAUUCUACCUCCAGAGGUCUGACAAGGGUCCUGAGUCUCGAAAACUUUUUUUUUUUUUGAAGAUGAUUAGCCCUGAGCUAACUGCUGCCAAUCCUCCUAUUUUUUGCUGAAGAAGACUGACCCUGCCUGAGCUAACAUCUGUGCCCAUCUUCCUCUACUUUCUAUGUGGGACGCCUGCCCAGCAUGGCUUGCCAAGCGGUGCCAUGUCCACAUCCGGGAUCUGGGCUGGCGAACCCCGGGCCGCCAGGAAGUAGAAUGUGCGCACUUAACCGCUGCACCACCGGGCUGGCCCCUUGACAUUUUGAAAAAGUGCCAUGUGACUCUGAUGCCCAGCUGCUGUCUGACCCAUAAGAGGUGUCUGGUGACUGUGCUCAUAGAAGUGCAGCACAUCUGUGGAGGGACACACAGGGAUCUGUGGCCUGCGGGGAGGGGAGCUGGGGGACACCAGAGGAAGAUGAGUCACUUUUUGUUAUACAUCUUUUUGUACUGAUUGGACUUUUAACCUAAAAAAAAUGUUUGACCAACUGAUGUUGUUGCUGUCAUCUAUGUGAGGGACCGCCAACUCUAGGCCUGCGGCUGGGGCCUGCAGUCCGGUGAAGGACAGGAGCAGGCCAGAGGAACGGAGAGCUGCAGAGCGCGUGUCCCACCUCAAGGGGGCAGCAGCCGCCCAGAGCCUGCUGACUGUGUCUGGGUGGGACUGAGCGCAGCGCUGCCAGAUCUUCCUACUUUUUCCAGAUAAGCCUGAAACCACAUUUUCAAGUAGAAUUAAUUGUCAACUAAUUCGAAAAUGUAGAACACAGCAUGGGCCGAACACAACACGUCUGCGAACCAAUUCUGGCUGCGGGCCACCAGUCCGUGCUGGCGGGUCUAGCAGGACGCUGUCAAGGACUGGGCACCUUGGAGGCCAAUCUGCAAAGCCAGGGCAGACCCAUCCUUCGCUUCUAGGAAAUCGAGUUCACUUCCCAUGGGGGUCCACACAGGACGAGGACAAAGCAGGUGCCCCAAGGCCCACAGGGGUCACCCGCCCACUCAAAAUGAUCUAAUUCCACACAUAUUUAUUAACCUCCCCUCGUGUGCCAGGCUGAGUGCUGGAGGUGGUGAAUGUGGUGAAUGUGACAGUCACAGUCCCUGGUCUCUAGGUGGGGAGACACACUUGAAAGAUAGUUGCAUAAUAAUUACAUUUGCGACAUGAGGAGCUGCAGUAUAGCAUGGGGAUCCUAAGUUUGAGUUUGAUUCCUGAUUUCACCACUUGCUAAUUAUGUCACUUUGGG